rnacentral:rRNA from 1 species
AUUGAACGCUGGCGUCAGGCCUAACACAUGCAAGUCGAACGGUAACAGGAAGCAGCUUGCUGCUUCGCUGACGAGUGGCGGACGGGUGAGUAAUGUCUGGGAAGCUGCCUGAUGGAGGGGGAUAACUACUGGAAACGGUAGCUAAUACCGCAUAAUGUCGCAAGACCAAAGAGGGGGACCUUCGGGCCUCUUGCCAUCGGAUGUGCCCAGAUGGGAUUAGCUUGUUGGUGGGGUAACGGCUCACCAAGGCGACGAUCCCUAGCUGGUCUGAGAGGAUGACCAGCCACACUGGAACUGAGACACGGUCCAGACUCCUACGGGAGGCAGCAGUGGGGAAUAUUGCACAAUGGGCGCAAGCCUGAUGCAGCCAUGCCGCGUGUAUGAAGAAGGCCUUCGGGUUGUAAAGUACUUUCAGCGGGGAGGAAGGGAGUAAAGUUAAUACCUUUGCUCAUUGACGUUACCCGCAGAAGAAGCACCGGCUAACUCCGUG